GACGAACGCUGGCGGCGUGCUUAACACAUGCAAGUCGAGCGGUAAGGCCCUUUCGGGGGUACACGAGCGGCGAACGGGUGAGUAACACGUGGGUGACCUGCCCUCAGCUCUGGGAUAAGCCUGGGAAACCGGGUCUAAUACCGGAUAUGACUCCAUGACGCAUGUUGUGGGGUGGAAAGCCUUGUGCGGCUGAGGAUGGGCCCGCGGCCUAUCAGCUUGUUGGUGGGGUGAUGGCCUACCAAGGCGACGACGGGUAGCCGGCCUGAGAGGGCGACCGGCCACACUGGGACUGAGACACGGCCCAGACUCCUACGGGAGGCAGCGAGUGGGGAAUCUUGCGCAAUGGGCGAAAGCCUGACGCAGCGACGCCGCGUGAGGGAUGACGGCCUGGU
rnacentral:rRNA from 1 species